rnacentral:rRNA from 1 species
GUUGAACGCUGGCGGCAUGCCUAACACAUGCAAGUCGAACGGCAGCGGGUCGUAGCAAUACGAUGCCGGCGAGUGGCGGACGGGCGAGGAAUACAUAGGAAUCUACCCAAACGUGGGGGAUAACGUAGGGAAACUUACGCUAAUACCGCAUACGACCGAGAGGGGAAAGCGGCGGACCGCAAGGCGUCGCGCGGUUGGAUGAGCCUAUGUCCGAUUAGCUAGUUGGCGGGGUAAUAGCCCACCAAGGCGACGAUCGGUAGCUGGUCUGAGAGGAUGAUCAGCCACACUGGAACUGAGACACGGUCCAGACUCCUACGGGAGGCAGCAGUGGGGAAUAUUGGACAAUGGGCGCAAGCCUGAUCCAGCAAUGCCGCGUGGGUGAAGAAGGCCUUCGGGUUGUAAAGCCCUUUUGUACGGGAAGAAAUCCUGUCGGUUAAUACCCGGCGGGGAUGACGGUACCGUAAGAAUAAGCACCGGCUAACUUCGUGCCAGCCGCCGCGGUAACAC